rnacentral:lncRNA from 1 species
GACACAAAGUCAUCAGGGUGAGCGCACUGAGAAGACGCAGCUCAUUGGAAGCCUGCGGUGCGUGUGCUGUCUGUGGGAGAGCGCUCUGCAGAGUCUGCCGAGAUAGCUGCUGGGCAUUACUGAUGUUCACAGGGUCUAGGAGGUGGUCAGAUGCCAUGGGAGGUAUUUUUGGGAAGGAAGCAGCAACAGAUGGGGCUCUGGGAAGAAGUGAUUCAUUGGAGAGGGCUUAUUGCCCCCCUCCCCAGUAGAGUCUCCCCCAAAUAUCCACAUCCCCACACAGCCUCUGACAUGAGCAUCCAAGGGUUGUGGUGGUAGGGCUUUGGCACAGUUUUGUGUACACCAAUCUUGUAUCUCCAGCUCCUUGAAAAGAGCCAAGCCUGGUUUCCAUGGUACCCUGCCCAGCCCUGAGGCAACUGUCAAAUCCUGUUGGCAUCAUCUAUUUUUAGCAGUUGGUGCUGGGACCUCCAGUUUCCCUGUUUUGUAUCCUAAAGGCAGGCCACCCAGGGACCUACUCUGCAGAUCCACACUUGGGAUCAGCUAGAGCUUGGGAGUGAGCUUAUAUAAGUAAGCUCUCUGCAGAGAGCUGAGGCCCCUGCCUGAAUCCCACCCCCACCCCCAGGCCUUUGUGCUACCUGGUCAUGGUUGCUGCUAUUGACUGAGUUCCCCCUCUGAGCUAGUGCUAAAUUAAAGGCUUGCAUGACUUCCGCUCAGCAUCCAUCUGUGAAGCUGGCACAAGGCAGACCAUCUUAUACAGGGGGAUUAAUCUAAGACUCAGAGAAAUCGGAAACUUUGUACACAAUAAAGUAAGAACAAAGUCGGGAUCCAAAAUUUGAUCUGACUCCAAAGUCUGGUACUUUGCACUGGACUAUAUAGGUAUACACACAUUAAACAUACACACACACACACACACACUCGGAAAGAGAACAUUUGCCAAACUUGACCUAGAGCAUACCAGGACUAAGUUCUUUAGUUGCAGUUAUGAGCUAGAUAGACACUGUAUUCCGACUAGGGAGACAGACAGACAGACAUUUCCCAUGGAGUAAGUACCGUGUGGUCAGUCCUCUAGCAGAGGGUGGCCAGGCUCGCAGAGAAGAGAGUACCUGAGUGUCAGUGGGAGUGGGGUGUGGGAGGGGUAUGAAUGGACACUGAUGUGUCAACAGGAGAGGCAGGAGUUUCCGGAGAGGGAAAGCAAGACUUUAGGACAGGACUCUCAACAGAAGUCUUCUUAGAAGACGCCUCCCUUCCCUUACAAGGGGCACGUGUUGUAUAGGACACGUGUGGCCCUGGAGUCCCCUCCACUGAACCCUUCCCAACAGGAAUAGAGGUGUUUUUAUGGCAGUACAUUUUACAGCAUGAGAUUCAGGGAAGAUGAUUUUGUCCUUUCUUUCCAGCCACGCCAUGUGUUGUUUUUCUUGUUCUUUACGGCUUUGAGUCUGGCAGGUGAGAGUCAGGUCUGUGCAGCAGACUUAACACACAGUUGUGGAGGCUGCUGGAGAUACUGCAAUGCCCCUGGCUUCCUGCCGGUCCUGUCUCGGAAGGUCAUUACCUGCACCUGUGCCUCAUGCCGCUUCAAGUAAGAAAAAGGAGCAGGGCUGGCUGGAGCCAGGGCCAAAGAACCCACCCAACACACACAAGGGUUUAAGCCCGGACGUUUACG